rnacentral:lncRNA from 1 species
GCUUCAAUACUUUGGCUAAUCGUCGAGUUUCAGUUUGAUAUUGGUACAAGUUUUCUGUACGCAUGAUUGCGACAAGAAAUGAUGUAUAGUUUUUGAGAUUAUGUUCAUGAUCGUCUGGAUAUGUUGCUAGCGUUUAGACGAAUAUUAAGAUUGUCGUUUGCCUAUUCUUGACGAUUUGCAGAAGUUUUUUUGAAGUUUGGGAGUAUACGA